CUAACCGCAGGAGGGGAUGCCUAAGCAGGGCUAGUGACUGGGGUGAAGUCGUACAAGUUAGCCGUACCGGAAGGUGUGGCUGGAUCACCUCCUUA
rnacentral:rRNA from 1 species